UACGUAGGGGGCAAGCGUUGUCCGGAAUUAUUGGGCGUAAAGAGCUCGUAGGCGGUUUGUCGCGUCUGCUGUGAAAACCUAAGGCUCAACCUUGGGCUUGCAGUGGGUACGGGCAGACUAGAGUGCGGUAGGGGUGACUGGAAUUCCUGGUGUAGCGGUGGAAUGCGCAGAUAGUCAGGAGGAACACCGAUGGCGAAGGCAGGUCACUGGGCCGCAACUGACGCU
rnacentral:rRNA from 1 species